ACGAUCAGUAGGGGUUCUGAGAGGAAGGUCCCCCACAUUGGAACUGAGACACGGUCCAAACUCCUACGGGAGGCAGCAGUGAGGGAUAUUGGUCAAUGGGCGAGAGCCUGAACCAGCCAAGUAGCGUGCAGGAUGACGGCCCUAUGGGUUGUAAACUGCUUUUAUAAGGGAAUAAAGUGAGUCUCGUGAGACUUUUUGCAUGUACCUUAUGAAUAAGGACCGGCUAAUUCCGUGCCAGCAGCCGCGGUAAUACGGAAGGUCCGGGCGUUAUCCGGAUUUAUUGGGUUUAAAGGGAGCGUAGGCCGGAGAUUAAGCGUGUUGUGAAAUGUAGACGCUCAACGUCUGCACUGCAGCGCGAACUGGUUUCCUUGAGUACGCACAAAGUGGGCGGAAUUCGUGGUGUAGCGGUGAAAUGCUUAGAUAUCACGAAGAACUCCGAUUGCGAAGGCAGCUCACUGGAGCGCAACUGACGCUGAAGCUCGAAAGUGCGGGUAUCGAACAGGAUUAGAUACCCUGGUAGUCCGCACGGUAAACGAUGGAUGCCCGCUGUUGGUCUGAAUAGGUCAGCGGCCAAGCGAAAGCAUUAAGCAUCCCACCUGGGGAGUAC
rnacentral:rRNA from 1 species